GUCAGAAUACACGUUUAUUGAUUAAGUACACCAUCUUGUAUAGGCAGAGUUAUUGGCACCCUAUAGUACAACACUAACAUCAAAUAUCACUGAUCACAGAUCACCAUAACAGUUAUUUAUUAAUGAAAAAGUUUGAAAUAUUAUGUGAAUUACCAAAUGAGACAUAGAGAUAAAAAGUGAGCACAUGCUGUUGGAAAAAAAUGGCACUGAUAGACUUCCUUGAUACAGGGUUGUCACAAACUUUCAAUUUGUAAAAAACUCAAUACCUACAAAGAGCAAUAAAGCGAAGUACAAUAAAGUGUGCCUGUAAUAUGAAUGUACAAAAUAUAGUAGUUUUUGAGAUCUUUUUUGGUUAUUUUAUUAUUCAUUUUAACUUAUUAUAAAAUAUUUUAUUUUGUAGUCGAGCAUUUGAGGAACCCUUGGACGAUUGUCGGGAAGCCUUCGGGUUAAUGAAGCAUGAAAACUAUUGGGCCUCUCCUGAGCCCUUUGAGCUCAAAAAUCUCUAACUUCCUAGGAGGCUCCUCAGGCUCAGCCCAGGCCUGAAGCUGAUGUAUUUGAGAAGCUGGUGUUUUAGAUGACUGUCAUCUAAAACCUCAAAGCCUCAAAAGCUGUUUACAUCAGUGGGGUUGCACCUGUACUCUGAGUUAGUUUUAUCACAAAAAUGGGUCAUUUGCAGCUGCCUUUUAAAGGUGAAAACAGAUGCAAAAUAUAUUAAAAAAAUCAAACAGACUUUCAAAAACCACACACAGUGCCAAGUAGUCAGUGGAUUUGUCGGCGCCCUGCCUGAGAACAGCACUUUGAUAAAAGGCCCAGCUGCAAGGGUGCAGAAUAACAGAGUUGGGAGCACUGCUGCCCUUUCUUUGUUCUGCCUUUCAGGGCAGCUGUCCUCAAAUAUGGGGUGGGCAGAAGUGGUGUGCUUACUGCCAGCACUGCCUGCUACAAGGAAAAGAACUGUAUGGCCUACUAAUUUGGGGGAGUGCUGGAUUAAACAGCAUUAAGAUGCUUCUCAGACUGUUCAAUAUACUUGUGUGCACUGCCCGUCUCCCAGGGAUGGACACAGUUGUGAUCCCCAAAUGCUCUACAGACUUUUAGGGGAGGGACCAUGCUCUAGGACCCAUGCUUUAAGAAGGCAAAAAUAAACCAAGCACUGUGGCUCAUGCCUGUAAUCCCACGGCUUUGGGAAGUGGGAGGAUCGCUUGAGCCUAGAGGUUUGAGGCUGCAGUGAGCUAUGAUUGAACCACUGCAUGCCAGGCUGGGUGACAGAACAAGACCCUGUCUCUAAAAAAACAAAAAGGAAGCAAAAUAGAAAAUGCUUCUUUGCAAACAUUAUGUCAAUUAGUGAUACAUCUAAAAUACAUCUUGAGAGGCUGGGGUAGGAGAAUUGCUUGAGGCCAAUGGUUUGAGACCAGCCUGGGAAACGCAGUGAGACCCCAUCUCUAAAACACAAAAUAAAAUAAAAAAUAAAUAAUUAAAAUGCAGUUUAACUGUAGCAGCUACACCCUUCAGCAGCAUCUGUGAGAGAAGUGUUAUUUCUGACCAAGCAGAGCUGUGUUUUAAGAUGAAGGCUCCCCGACCUGUGAAAAACAGCCCUAGCUCAAGGUUAACUUACAGUAUCAACAGUACAUUACUUCAGCGAUGCUUCUGUCUUCCUACCCACUGGGGACAAUUGUCUCCAUAGCUUGUAUCUUACAUUCUCAAAUAACAUCUAGUUUCUGGUUCCCCUGAGACCAGGUGCAUCCUCCACCCACCUCACCCCACUGAACCAAGGAUCUGCUGUACACCCUUCCUCAUUAGAAACUUCAUCUCCACCCUCUUUCCCACUCCCCCAACAAAACAAUCAAAGCACAUGCCCAAAUUUAUUUUUAUUUUGCACACAUAGGAAACAGGAUCCUAUCAAAAGAGAACAAAAAAGAGAAACGAGCCAAUUGUUGCAGAGGAAAAGCAUGCACAGAUCUGCUUCAAGUUUA
rnacentral:lncRNA from 10 species